rnacentral:rRNA from 1 species
GACCCUUCGGGGUUAGUGGCGGACGGGUGAGUAACACGUGGGAACGUGCCUUUAGGUUCGGAAUAGCUCCUGGAAACGGGUGGUAAUGCCGAAUGUGCCCUUCGGGGGAAAGAUUUAUCGCCUUUAGAGCGGCCCGCGUCUGAUUAGCUAGUUGGUGAGGUAAUGGCUCACCAAGGCGACGAUCAGUAGCUGGUCUGAGAGGAUGACCAGCCACACUGGGACUGAGACACGGCCCAGACUCCUACGGGAGGCAGCAGUGGGGAAUCUUGCGCAAUGGGCGAAAGCCUGACGCAGCCAUGCCGCGUGAAUGAUGAAGGUCUUAGGAUUGUAAAAUUCUUUCACCGGGGACGAUAAUGACGGUACCCGGAGAAGAAGCCCCGGCUAACUUCGUGCCAGCAGCCGCGGUAAUACGAAGGGGGCUAGCGUUGCUCGGAAUUACUGGGCGUAAAGGGCGCGUAGGCGGACAUUUAAGUCAGGGGUGAAAUCCCAGAGCUCAACUCUGGAACUGCCUUUGAUACUGGGUGUCUUGAGUGUGAGAGAGGUAUGUGGAACUCCGAGUGUAGAGGUGAAAUUCGUAGAUAUUCGGAAGAACACCAGUGGCGAAGGCGACAUACUGGCUCAUUACUGACGCUGAGGCGCGAAAGCGUGGGGAGCAAACAGG